CCUCAGUUCUGUGGUCUCCAACCGGCCCAAAGCGAGCUGGACACCAGGCCCACGGACGCCACCCCUGCAUGGCUCCGCGCGCCGGAAUGCAGCUGCAGGGAGUACUCGCCGAGCUCUGGCCGCAGCUUCGGAGAGGGAGCCCAGGCGAAUACCCGGGGGCGCGCUGCCCACCCAGCCUCCAGGGCCGGAGCGGCCUGCCCCAGCGCGGUCCAAGGCGCAGGCAGGGAGGCCAGGAGGACCAAGCAUUUUGGGCGUCUGCGCCCCAGCCCCACCAGACCCCAGGCACCCCGGAUCCGCCCUCCCGAGCGCACGCGAUGCCCUGCCGUGUCGCUCUCGGCUCUUCGGGCGGGCGGUCAGGCGGAGGAGAGAAGGGGCGAGGGCGGCGGGAGCCUGACGCCCCGUCCCCGGGCUCGUCGCGGCGCCGCCUCGGGCCGGCGCGCUGCGCACAAGCUGACUUCCAGCAUCUGCUCGCCUAGUGGACAAACGAGGGGUGUCCAGGCCACGCUGGCCCCUCCUGUCUCCAGGGCGGGGGCGGCCUGUGUCUCUCCCGCCGCGGUGGUACUUUCUCCGCAAAGAAAAGGUACCCUCCCCGCCCCGCCCCCAAAGAACCAGCCGUUAGCUUCCUUCAAGCUUCCCAGCCGGUGGCCUUUCUCAAAGUUCACACCGCUGGAAAAGCUCGCGGUGCUCGGCGGGUGCCCGCCUCUCCGAGUGCAGAGAGCCAGCCCCUGCCGGAGGGAUGCCCCGUUAAUCCCGGGUGGCGGGGCAGGGGGACACCCUGCCCGCCUCGGGGUGCCACGCCCCGCCGGUUUAGGGGCACUUCUGCCAAAAGAGGUCCCGGGGGGACGUCCGAGGAGGAGCCCGGAGCUCGGAGGAGAGGGCGCUCCUCGCCGGCUGGCACCGCGCCUCCGCCCGCCCCUUCCCUGCCGGCCCAACGGUGGGAAGGCAGGCGCCGAGGUGGUGUUUUGUGAGCAAGCAAGACGCGCCAGGGCUGCGAAACUGCAGACCCCGGUGUCCGCCAGCUGUAAACCCGCGUCGACAGGUUGUCAGACGGCCGGGCGCGCCGACCGGGACGCGGCCUGCGGUCCCGCCCCGGCCGCCCGGGCGCUUGGCGGGCGGAGGUGGCCCGGCCGGCGCUGGGCACCACGUGCUCGGCGGGAGGGGCAGGAGCGGCCGGCGAGGGCGGGCGGCGGGGAGGGGGCGGGCGAGGAGCGGGGGAGCCGGGGGCGGGGCCAGAGCUCAAGGGGAUGCCAAUCAAAGCAUCAACUUCAAAUUGUGUCUGAAAGCCGCGCCGCCGAGCGGAGGGCGGCCGCCGCAGUCGGCGCGCGAUCGCGGAGCCGGGCGCAGCCGGGAGCCGGGCGCCAGCGAGCACCGGGCCGAGGAGCAGCCACCGGCCCCCGCCUCCGGGCCGGCCCGAGCGCGCCCGGCCGGCGGCCCGCUGCCCCCCACUCCGGCACCCGCCUUCCCUAG
rnacentral:lncRNA from 1 species